rnacentral:lncRNA from 1 species
GAAAUUCUCUGACUUCACUGUGAAGAAUUAUUUGAAGAAAACUAAAGCUUAUGAAAGGAAUGUCAACUGGAAAGUUAAGGAGUCACCCAACCAAGUUUAUGGCUAUAGCUACAAGCUGGGAGCAAGAGGAUCUGCAGCAUUGAUCCACAAGAGGAGGUAAUUUCCUCUUGCAAUCAAAAAGAGAACUGGAUUCAGGAGAAGGCCCACACCUAAGACAACAGAGCAGAAGAUCAGAAAGAAC